rnacentral:rRNA from 1 species
ACGAACGCUGGCGGCGUGCUUAACACAUGCAAGUCGAACGCUGAAGCCUAGCUUGCUAGGUGGAUUAGUGGCGAACGGGUGAGUAAUACGUGAGUAACCUACCUUUAACUCUGGGAUAAGCCUGGGAAACUGGGUCUAAUACCGGAUACGACCAAUCUCCGCAUGGGGUGUUGGUGGAAAGCGUUAUGUAGUGGUUAUAGAUGGGCUCACGGCCUAUCAGCUUGUUGGUGAGGUAACGGCUCACCAAGGCGACGACGGGUAGCCGGCCUGAGAGGGUGACCGGCCACACUGGGACUGAGACACGGCCCAGACUCCUACGGGAGGCAGCAGUGGGGAAUAUUGCACAAUGGGCGCAAGCCUGAUGCAGCGACGCCGCGUGAGGGAUGACGGCCUUCGGGUUGUAAACCUCUGUUAGCAGGGAAGAAGAGAAAUUGACGGUACCUGCAGAGAAAGCGCCGGCUAACUACGUG